rnacentral:sRNA from 1 species
CAACUUUUGAUAAUAAUUAUACUAAAUGUCUACAAUUUAGAUAUAAAACUUUAUUUUGACUCUAAUUUUCAAUUUUUUGCUAACAGAAAGAACUUGUCUUCUGGUGGAAAAUUUGUAUAGGUAGUCGGAAAGAGUUUAAAUUCAUUUGUUGUUUUGCAUAACAUAAUCAUGCACUUUUCCUUUCUCUACAAGGCACCUUAGGAACUAAUUAGAUGGAAAAUAAAGCAGGGGAUGGGCAGCUUUUGAGCAAACCUCCCUCCUGUUAAGAAGUUCCCCCAAUUUUGACAUAGACAAAAAACACUACUUUAACACCAGUUCCCUUCCCAUCCCUUCUCACACUCUUUCCUUUUCUUUUCUUGCUCUCCUUACCCUCUCUAAAUAUACGUCAACCAUUGUUUUUUUGUGUUGAAAGUCCCACAUCGACUAGAGAUAAGGCCAAUUCAUAGUUUAUAAGUGGGUGCAAACCUCACCCUACUAGCCGGUUUUGUGGGGUUGAGUUAGGCUUAAAGUCCACUUCUAAAAUGGUAUCAGAGCCAUGGUUAGAGUUUAUCCUAGCGAUAUUAUUUGCUAGGCAUAUUGUUCCACCCGCUAUCGGACCACCCAUUACUAAUCUCACGCUCGAGGUGUAUAUACCUCAGCGUGAGGAGGGUGUGUUGGAAGUCCC